rnacentral:misc_RNA from 1 species
GAUGAAGAACGCAGCAAAAUGCGAUAAGUAAUGUGAAUUGCAGAAUUCAGUGAAUCAUCGAAUCUUUGAACGCACAUUGCGCCCGCCAGCAUUCUGGCGGGCAUGCCUAUUCGAGCGUCAUUUCAACCCUCGACCUCCCCUUGGGGAGGUCGGCGUUGGGGACCGGCAGCACACCGCCGGCCCUGAAAUGGAGUGGCGGCCCGUCUGCGGCGACCUCUGCGUAGUAAUACAGCUCGCACCGGAACCCCGACGCGGCCACGCCGUAAAACACCCAACUUCUGAACGUUGACCUCGAAUCAGGUAGGACUACCCGCUGAACUUAAGCAUAUCAAUAAGCGGAGGA